CGUGUCGUGUUGCUGUGUUGCUGCGUUGCCUGUUGAAGUUGCUGGUUGCUGUGUCCUCAGACGGUCAGCUCAGUGAUUCAGUGAGACAGAAGCUGAUGGGUGAGACGUCCCUCUGUCUGAAGCUGAUGGACAGCUGCUGCCACGGAGACCUGCAGCCUCUCCUUCGACAGGUCGACAGCAGCUGUUGCAGUUCUGAGGUGCUUGGCUGCUUAGCGACACUAACUGGGACGACAGAGAGGUGUUCCAGCAGAACAUCUGAACAUAACAUAUUCCCACUAAAGACGUAAAACCUUAAAACCACAAAUAUUUUGCGUCUAGCGCUGUACUUCUUUUACUUCUAUUAAAGGGGCCCUAUUAUGCUAUUUGGGUUUUUAUACUUUCCUGUAGUGUGUUCUAUAUGUUUUUGUGCAAAUGAAUGCUCCGUAAAGACUAAUCCCUGUGUUCCCUCCAGACGGAGUUUCUCUCCCUGCCUGAGAAGCCUCCUUUGGAAUUUAGUUUACAUCCGUUACAUAAUGAUAUCACUAUGUAAAACUUGUGCUUCUAUUUGCUAGCGCUCUAACACAAUAGCUGGACGCCAUGUUUCUUAUUUUGAAAAUGAGCAGAAUAUGAUCAGCGGUCAGUAGGGACGAAAUAGAUACAAAACAUUUCCAAAGUUGUCUUUGGACUUUGUGACGCUCUGGGGUUAUUGGAAAUGUAUGGAUCACUCCUAUUGGAAACAAUGCUAAGCAGCCACCAUUGGAAGGUAAUUCUAGUAUAAGUUUAAUCUUUAGUGUCAUCUGUGCAAUGAAACUCAGUUUGAACACAAUGAAAAAGUAUAAAACUAUUAUGUACAGCUCUACUAGUUCUUUCCAAAAACAGCUUGGUGUACUUUUUCCUAACAAAUAUAAGGAAAUAAUGAGUUUGUUGGGGUUUUUAGUGGAAUAUACUGCCCUAAUGGAAGGGCAGAGAAGCGUUUACGACUGCAACUCUGCCUGCUGAUCCCAACUAUAGGUUGCCAUGUCAACGCUAAACCUUAACCCAAUCAGUCCUGCUCUGGAACAGGAGCUCCCUCCCAAAAUCUUCUGCAAACCACACACCCAACCUGACAGACCCCCACAACUCAUACCCUUUGUAUUCACAAACAACAACAACCACACGAUCAUCUCGUCAUGCAGCAAAU